rnacentral:lncRNA from 1 species
UUCAAUUUUAACAAGUUCUUCCUGCAAAUGAGCAUUUCCUGAGACUAUCAGAGCACCUGAGAACAGCUCCAUCAGCCACGUCAAAUGCUUCACAGCGGCAGUCAAUUACAUUCGAGCAUAUUUAAGAUGAGCAGAGUCAGACGUUAGUUUUCUCUCCACUCGCUUCAGGUGAAGCAGUUCAGAAACUUAUGGCCACCGGCUGCUGUUUGCCCCAGGAAAGAGCUUAAAAGCAGAACAACCUCUUCCCCAAAUAACGACCAUAUGUAAAGCACUGCGCAGCAGAUCCGUCCUGCAAACUGCUUAGCGCUCUCAGGGGUGCAGUAAGUUGUGCCAGCGUGUUUCCGCUGCGCAACCCGGAAAACAAACUUUCCCAACUGCUUACGGGCUAUAUUUAUAUAUUUUUUUAAAGGAAGCUUUUCUGCCAUCUUCAGUUGAAAUCUAAGCUACAAGUUGAAGAUCAGCCCCCAGCCAACAGCACAUCUUCUCGAAACAAAUGAUUGUUUUCCUCACUCGACAAAGCAAUAAUGAGACAAGAAACCAGAUCCUGGGCAUACAGUUCUAAGGAACAUCAAACAAGAAAAAUACAACCAAGUUCUUCCGCCAUGGAGCAGAUCCCCACAAAAUCCAGCUGCAGAGCAGGGCCAUGGCUUAUCUCUCCAUGCCUUCACCAUUGGAGUGUUCCCAGAGUGGUUCAUGAAAACCCAUAA